UACGUAGGGAGCAAGCGUUGCUCGGAUUUACUGGGCGUAAAGGGCGCGUAGGCGGCGCGGUAAGUCACUUGUGAAAUCUCUGAGCUUAACUCAGAACGGCCAAGUGAUACUGCUGUGCUAGAGUGCAGAAGGGGCAAUCGGAAUUCUUGGUGUAGCGGUGAAAUGCGUAGAUAUCAAGAGGAACACCUGAGGUGAAGACGGGUUGCUGGGCUGACACUGACGCUGAGGCGCGAAAGCCAGGGGAGCAAACGGG
rnacentral:rRNA from 1 species